GACGAACGCUGGCGGCGUGCUUAACACAUGCAAGUCGAACGGAAAGGCCCUGCUUUUGUGGGGUGCUCGAGUGGCGAACGGGUGAGUAACACGUGAGUAACCUGCCCUUGACUUUGGGAUAACUUCAGGAAACUGGGGCUAAUACCGGAUAGGAGCUCCUGCUGCAUGGUGGAGGUUGGAAAGUUUCGGCGGUUGGGGAUGGACUCGCGGCUUAUCAGCUUGUUGGUGGGGUAGUGGCUUACCAAGGCUUUGACGGGUAGCCGGCCUGAGAGGGUGACCGGCCACAUUGGGACUGAGAUACGGCCCAGACUCCUACGGGAGGCAGCAGUGGGGAAUAUUGCACAAUGGGCGGAAGCCUGAUGCAGCAACGCCGCGUGCGGGAUGACGGCCUUCGGGUUGUAAACCGCUUUCGCUCAUGACGAAGCUUUGUGUGACGGUAGUGGGUAAAGAAGCACCGGCUAACUACGUG
rnacentral:rRNA from 1 species